CACUCCAGCAACAACAACAGCAACAACCCGAGAGCCUAUCCAGGGCCUAGGCCUGUAGCUCACUUGGCAGAGU
ensembl:miRNA Mir5106 microRNA 5106